UACGAAGGGGGCUAGCGUUGCUCGGAAUCACUGGGCGUAAAGCGCACGUAGGCGGGUUCUUAAGUCAGGGGUGAAAUCCCGAGGCUCAACCUCGGAACUGCCUUUGAUACUGGGAAUCUUGAGUUCGGGAGAGGUGAGUGGAAUUGCGAGUGUAGAGGUGAAAUUCGUAGAUAUUCGCAAGAACACCAGUGGCGAAGGCGGCUCACUGGCCCGAUACUGACGCUGAGGUGCGAAAGCGUGGGGAGCAAACAGG
rnacentral:rRNA from 1 species